rnacentral:piRNA from 1 species
UGAAACACACACUGUACAGUGGGCUGUUC